UUUGGUGAUCAUAGCGCAAAACAAAACACCCAGCCCCAUCCCGAACCGGCAGUUAAGUGCUGUAGCGCCGAUGGUACUGCGUCUUAAGACGUGGGAGAGUAGGUCAUUGCCAAAC
rnacentral:rRNA from 1 species